rnacentral:rRNA from 1 species
CCUACGGGGGGCAGCAGUGGGGAAUUUUGGACAAUGGGCGCAAGCCUGAUCCAGCUAUUCCGCGUGUGGGAAGACGGCCUUCGGGUUGUAAACCACUUUUGUAGAGAACGAAAAGUCUAUUGAUAAUACCGAUAGACGAUGACGGUACUCUAAGAAUAAGCAUCGGCUAACUCCGUGCCAGCAGCCGCGGUAAUACGGAGGAUGCGAGCGUUAUCCGGAUUUAUUGGGUUUAAAGGGUGCGUAGGCGGAUUUUUAAGUCAGCGGUAAAAUGUCCGGGCUCAACCCGGGCCGGCCGUUGAAACUGG